rnacentral:tRNA from 1 species
GGUGAUUAGCUCAGCUGGGAGAGCGUCUGCCUUACAAGCAGAAUGUCGGCGGUUCGAUCCCGUCAUCACCCACCA